GAAUCCCGUGAACCAUCGAGUCU
rnacentral:siRNA from 1 species